rnacentral:rRNA from 1 species
AUUGAACGCUGGCGGCAGGCCUAAUACAUGCAAGUCGAGCGGAUGACGGGAGCUUGUUCCUGGUUUCAGCGGCGGACGGAUGAGUAAUGCCUAAGAAGCUGCCUGGUAGUCGGGGCUAACGUUCGGAAACGGGCGCUAAUACCGCAUACGAAUAGAGGGAGAAAGUGGGGGAUCUUCGGACCUAACGCUAUCAGAUGAGCCUAGGUCGCAUUAGCUAGUUGGUGGGGUAAAGGCCUACCAAGACGACGAUCCGUAACUGGUCUGAGAGGCUGAUCAGCCACACUGGAACUGAGACACGGUCCAGACUCCUACGGGAGGCAGCAGUAGGGAAUCUUGGACAAUGGGCGAAAGCCUGAUCGAGCCAUGCCGCGUGUGUGAUGAAGGUCUUCGGAUUGUAAAGCACUGUUAGAUGGGAAGAAGAGCUAUAAGAUAAAACCAUGCUAUUUUGACGUUACCAAAAGAGAAAGCGACGGCUAACUACGUG